UACGGGGGGAGCAAGCGUUGUUCGGAUUUACUGGGCGUAAAGGGCGCGUAGGCGGCCACCGCAAGUCGACUGUGAAAUCUCCGGGCUUAACUCGGAAAGGUCAGCCGAUACUGCGGGGCUAGAGUGCAGAAGGGGCAACUGGAAUUCUCGGUGUAGCGGUGAAAUGCGUAGAUAUCGGGAAGAACACCCGUGGCGAAGGCGGCACUCUGGGACGGUACUGACGCUGAG
rnacentral:rRNA from 1 species